GUCGGAGGCACCAGAAACACAUUGCCAUCAAGGAGCGUUCCACCAUCACCGUGCUUAUGGCCAGCGUCCGUUUGUGUGCUCUCGUCUUCGUAUGUGCUGCUCAAAUGCUGUUUGCUGAUACGUCUGCAAAACAGACUGACUGCAGCCCAAUCUUGCUCAAUACGCAUGGAAAACCGAUCCAAGUGGGAUGCACGCAAACCUGUGGAACCUCAAGUCAAAUGGUGAAAACUACGCAAGAUGGCGCAGAGUGCACUAAUAUUUCAUCUGAGACUGCGGAAAAGAUGCAACCUUUCCUGGGAUAUAUCUGUCCUGUUGGCCGGUGCAAACAAAGCGAGUGCUCUUUAAACAGUCUGUCUUUGGAAUGUUGGAAUACCAACCCUAAGCCUACACGGGGCAUUAAGUAACGGUGCAAUGACAAAGUCGAGCACCUCAUUUUCAAAAAAAAAGCUUCAUUAAGUAGUCGGAAAGUUAUGUCAAUAAAUGUA